rnacentral:rRNA from 1 species
UACGUAGGUGGCAAGCGUUGUCCGGAUUUACUGGGCGUAAAGAGCGCGCAGGCGGUCAGAUAAGUCGAAUGUGAAAGCCCCCGGCUCAACUGGGGAGGGUCAUUCGAUACUGUUCGACUCGAAGGCAGGAGAGGGAAGUGGAAUUCCCGGUGUAGUGGUGAAAUGCGUAGAUAUCGGGAGGAACACCAGUGGCGAAGGCGAAUCCCUGGAAAUACCUGACACUGAGGCACGAAAGCUAGGGGAGCAAACAGG